rnacentral:tRNA from 2 species
GGGCGCGUAGCUCAGUUGGCUAGAGCGCACGGUUCACAUCCGUGAGGUCACAGGUUCAAGUCCUGUCGCGCCCA